CCUGCCCCUAGAAAUAUUGCAGAGGUGGCUGCUGUGUCACAUGUGUCAGUAGGUGGCAGAGAGGAGAGGGGCUAUGUCUACUCUCAGUGUAGACCUAGGAACAUCUGAAUGAUUAGCAGUCUCACUCA
ensembl:snoRNA LOC120100423 small nucleolar RNA SNORA17